rnacentral:tRNA from 1 species
GUCGGUGGCUCAGUGGCAGAGCACUUGCCUCACAUGCACGAGGCACUGGGUUCCACCCUCAGCACCACA